AUUGAACGCUGGCGGCAGGCUUAACACAUGCAAGUCGAACGAGCGGCGGACGGGUGAGUAAUGUCUGGGAAACUGCCUUAUGGAGGGGGAUAACUACUGGAAACUGUAGCUAAUACCGCAUACCAUCGGAUGAGCCCAAAUGGGAUUAGCUAGUUGGUGAGGUAAAGGCUCACCUAGGCGACGAUCCCUAGCUGGUCUGAGAGGAUGACCAGCAAUACUGGAACUGAGAUAAGGUCCAGACGCCUACGGGAGGCAGCAGUGGGGAAUAUUGCACAAUGGGAGCAAGCCUGAUGCAGCCAUGCCGCGUGCGUGAAGAAGGCCUUCGGGUUGUAAAGCACUUUCAGCGAGGAGGCGUUAACUGCAGAAGAAGCACCGGCUAACUCCGUGCCAGCCGCCGCGGUAAUUC
rnacentral:rRNA from 1 species